UAUGGGCUUUUGUAUGUAGUAGUUUGAAUGGAAAAAGAAAACGAGUUUAUUUCCUUUUAGGUAGUGAAUCAAUUAUAAACCGCUUACCGAAUGAAUGAAAGUGACAUACCCAAAGGAUCAAGUUUUGAGUUAUGGGAAACCGAUGAGUUAUGCUCAUAUUUGAACAAAUGGUGAGUGAAAAAAAGAAAGAAAGAAGAAAUGAAAAGAAACACCGGAUAAAUUUCUCACUGUGAUUGCUGUUGCCAACUUUCUGGCUGGAAUCAGAUUUUAUUACCCGAAAAGAAGGCUCUUGAGAAUAGAACGUUGAAGAUGGUUUAAGGAACACUGGUUGUUUCAUCUUCAGAUUUGUACCAUGUCAAGACUUAAUGUAAAAGAGGCUGGUUCCCGAGCUUCCUGGUAUCUGUCAUCUUGGAAAAGUGGCUUUGGCAUUGACAAGCUUAGAGACAAUGACUUACACACCUAUUGGCAAUCGGAUGGGAUUUUACCUCACACAAUUAAUAUUCAGUUCCAUAAAAAGACUAUUAUCACAGAAUUAUGCAUGUACGUUGACUACAAACUAGACGAAAGCUACACGCCAAGCAAAAUUUCCAUCAGGUCUGGUAGCCAUGCUUAUGCCUCAAGAGAAAUUACCGUUUUCGAACUUGAUGAACCGCAUGGUUGGGUGAAUAUUUCUCUUGAGAAUAACGGUCAACCAGUAAAGGCACAUUUUAUACAAAUUGCAAUCUUGUCAAAUCAUUCGGGGGGACGUGAUUGUCGUGUAAGGCAAGUGCGUUUAGUUUCUCCUCUGGAAAGUGGCUGUUCUGCCAUUUUUCACGUUCCACCAUUUUCGACAACUGAAUGUAUGUCAUACAGCUCCGUCCGAUAACAGCUUUUUCUAUAAAAAUGUUUUAACAGAACUAGAUCAAUUCAUCAACUGAACUAAGAUGCGGGAUGAUAAAUGGCGAUGAUUGCUUAUGAAUUAAUAUAUUUAAUAGGAAGAUAAGCCAUCAUAGUAAACAUACAUUCAGUCUUUCUCUAGUGGAAAUAUGGCUUCAUUAGAAUUAUAAGUAAAUUAGAUAGGAAAAGUUAGACGUGACAGCAGUUCUGGUUUUGUGAAAACUAUUCUUCUUGGAGCGUAUAUUGUUAGCAGACUGUGUUUGCAUUUUUGAAGAGUGGCCAGAAUUAAAGAUCUGCAUCAAUUUUUUUCUUUGUUUAAUUGCUUUGUUUUCUAGUUCUGAUGUGUUAUUUUUUUAUGGUUUUUAGUACUUUUAUUUAUGUUAUUUCGCCAUAUUCUGGUCUGUAACAUAACGACGGAAUUAAAUAAUUAUAAUACGCUGGAAAGUUCUGGUAUCAUAUGUCUAACAGUGUUAAGACGCAGAAGCAUUUCUGAGCUGGACUUUAAAUGUAUAAUGAAUGUGUUACAAAAAUUCAUGUUGAAAUAGCUUAAUGACAUUGCAAUGUAUUUGUGUAACUUAAUAAAAUAUAAUAAAAAUAUUAUUAA